UAGGGAAUCUUCCACAAUGGGCGAAAGCCUGAUGGAGCAACGCCGCGUGUGUGAUAGAAGGGUUUCGGCUCGUAAAACACUGUUGUAAGAGAAGAAUGACAUUGAGAGUAACUGUUCAAUGUGUGACGGUAUCUUACCAGAAAGGAACGGCUAAAUACGUGCCAG
rnacentral:rRNA from 1 species